rnacentral:misc_RNA from 1 species
GAAAUGCGAUAAUUAAUGUGAAUUGCAGAAUUCAGUGAAUCAUCGAGUCUUUGAACGCACAUUGCGCCCCCUGGUAUUCCGGGGGGCAUGCCUGUCCGAGCGUCAUUGCUGCCCUCAAGCACGGCUUGUGUGUUGGGCUUCCGUCCCUGGCAACGGGGACGGGCCCAAAAGGCAGUGGCGGCACCAUGUCUGGUCCUCGAGCGUAUGGGUCUUUGUCACCCGCUCCCGUAGGUCCAGCUGGCAGCUAGCCUCGCAACCAAUCUUUUUAACCAGGUUGACCUCGGAUCAGGUAGGGAUACCCGCUGAACUUAGC